rnacentral:rRNA from 1 species
UACGUAGGGUGCAAGCGUUAAUCGGAAUUACUGGGCGUAAAGCGUGCGCAGGCGGUUUGCUAAGUCCGAUGUGAAAUCCCCGGGCUUAACCUGGGAACUGCAUUGGUGACUGGCAAGCUAGAGUGUGGCAGAGGGGGGUAGAAUUCCACGUGUAGCAGUGAAAUGCGUAGAGAUGUGGAGGAAUACCGAUGGCGAAGGCAGCCCCCUGGGCCAACACUGACGCUCAUGCACGAAAGCGUGGGGAGCAAACAGG